AUCUUCUUUCCUGUGUAGUUUUCAUCUCUUGAUUUUGGAUUGCUUGUUCAAGAUUUAUUUUCGAAUUUUGGAUUGUUUGCUAUUCGGAUAGGCAGAAGGUUUGCACGAUGAUAGAUCUGGAGUACCUGAAUCGUUUAUUGAUUCUGUAGUUUAAUCUUAUGAUUUUGGUGAUUUCGAAGCGUACAAUAUAAUCGUACUGUGUUAUGAAGUAAAUAAGAUUUUGUAGGGUUUUUGAAAGUUAAUUUAGAUAUUUCCUGCAUUUUAGUCUUGAUAGAUCUGGGGUACCUGAACCGUUCAGGUUUGCAUGCUGUGAUUGUGUUGUUCUUUUUUGAUUUUGGAGAGAGUCCUUGGGUAAUUUUGAGGAUUGUUCUUUUUUUAGUUUUUUUUUGCAUGCAUUCAAACACACGCAUGGUUUUUAAACUGGGGUUCUUGAAUAUUUGUUGGUUUUCUCGAAUAUUUGCCGGUUUUUUUUUCUCAGAAGAAUUGAUCUUAUAUUUGUGUAUCUCUCUGUGCAACUUUAAUAUAAAGUUAUUAAGGAAGAAGAGAAAGGAGGAAGAAGGGAGAGAGAAAAGGUAGAAACGACCUAAUAGUAGGCAUGAGUAUUAAGAUGCAGCAGAGCCACCACUUAGUGGCGCUAAGGUUUAAUGAGCAAAUUGACAGUAGAAAAGGGUCCACAUCCAUACCUAAGUUACUAUUGCUCUGGGUUCUGUUGGUGGCAUUCAUUAGUAUGUUAAACUACAAAGAAAUGGAUGGGUGGGUGUUAACAAAGUUAGAAGAAAGUAAGUUCUGGGAAGUAUGUGUGACCAGACGACAAAGAUGUUUCUUAGUGUCAGUGUCAAACUAUGUCCAGGCUUUGGCCAUUCUCAUUUCCAUUUUCCAGUACUUCAAAAUCGUAUCAGCAAUUGAUCAGGAAAAUGUGUUUCGAUUUCUGUCUUUUAUUAGUCUCGGUUAGUUAGGCUUAAGAGUAAGGGAUAUAAUUCAUUUUUCUUGUUUCAGCUAGAAAUUACGUCGAUGUCUUGAUUUUUAGUUUUUUUAGGGCUGUUUGGUUGUUUUUUUAGGGGUGUUUGGUUAGUUAGGCCUAAGAAGUAAGGGCUAGUGAAAGAGAAGCAUUUGAUUGUCCUACAAGUAUCUGAAUCGCCAAUGAAAGCAGAGGUUAUUUCCUCUGAAUUUCCACGAAUUGUUCAGGCUUCAGAGAAUGAAUCUCCUUUUUAAGGGUUCGUUGGGGAGCGAAGUGACCAUAUGGCAUCCCUUUCUGCACCUGCUCAGUCUCUCUCUUGCCUUUUUCAUACUACAUAUUUUUGUUUCUCAAUUUAGUGUCAGUGUCAACCAUGUCUAUGCUUUGGCCAUUCUCAUUUCCACUUUCCACUACUCUAAAAAUGUAUCUGCAAUUGAUCAGGUAAAAGUGUUUCAAUUUUCUGUCUUUGGUUCAUCUCCGUUAGUUAGUCUUAAGAGUAAGGGAGAUAAUUCGUUUUUCUUGUUUCCCUCCAUGUAUUGAUUUUUAGUUUUUUAGGGAUGCUUGGUUGGUUUGAAUGCACGAAACAUUUGCUGGUACACGAUUCAAA